GGAGAGGUCCGGGUCUGUGGAGAGGUCCCGGGUCUGUGGAGAGGCCCCGGGGCUGUGGAGAGGUCCCGGGUCUGUGGAGCUGUGGAGCCGCCCGGGCCUGUGGAGAGGUCCUGGGUCUGUGGAGAGCUCCCGGGCCUGUGGAGCUGUGGAGAGGUCCCGGGUCUGUGGAGACGUCCCGGGUCUGUGGAGAGGUCCCGGGUCUGUGGAGAGCUCCCGGGCCUGUGGAGCCGCCCGGGGCUGUGGAGAGGCCCCGGGGCUGUGGAGAGGCCCCGGCUCCGGUUCUGUGGAGAGGUCCGGGUCUGUGGAGAGGUCCCGGGUCUGUGGAGAGGUCCUGGUCUGUGGAGAGGUCCGGGUCUGUGGAGAGGCCCCGGGUCUGUGGAGCUGUGGAGAAGUCCGGGUCUGUAGAGAGGCCCUGAUCUGUAGAGAGAUCCGGGUCUGUGGAGCCGCCCGGGCCUGUGGAGCUGUGGAGAGGCCUCGGGUCUGUGGGGCGGAGUCGCCGGCCAACGGCCUGGUUUGAGCUCCCGGAGAAAACGCCUCAAGUCAGAGUCUAAAGAAGAAGAAGCCACAGCCUGGCGGUGGCGGCGCUCGCCCUCAGUCCCAGCACCUGGGAGGCGGAGGCGGAGGCAGGGGGAUGUCUGUGAGUUGGAGGCCAGCCUGCUCUUUAGUCUCUGAGACCGGAGCUGGGCACUAAGGCUGCAGUUGGGGGAGUUUCCUUAGGGUUUGUCAUAGAGAGCUUCGUUAGCCUCGUUACACAGCGUUAGGUGAGUUCUUGGGGACCUGACCCCCUCACACAGCCACGCACCUGAGCUAAAAACGCAUGCAUGCAUGCAUACAUAUGCCUCAUGAGGUGGCUCAGCUCCUCCUGAACCAGCCUUUGCUGCAUUUUCUUCCUUCUGGUCAUUCUUGGCAAGUGACAACCGCUGCAGCCCCCUCAGUGAGACAGAUGCUGGGGGAAAAGCUUAAACCCGUCUCCCACUGUGUGACAAGUGGUCCCUUGUGUGGAACCAGUGAAGACAGAGUCGCAGGCCGAAACCAGCUUCGAGUGUUCAGCCUGUUCACUGUUCCACUUUGCUUCAAGUGGCAAAUGACCGUUGAUUGAACGGUCCGCUCCUGCAGAUGUCAGUCACUACACCCAUCAUCGUCAAGGCUCGAACUCACUGCUUCUGCAGACCGCCCUGACUGCUGAGUGCAAAUCCGAAGUCCCAGAGCCACGGCUUCGGGGAAUGUCCCUUAGCCAACCAAAUGUGCUGUCGAUGCUUUGCAGCCCAUUCUGAACUCAAAUCGCAAAUCCCUCCAAUCUGUUGCCUCUGCCUCCCCGGUGCUGAAACUAAAGGUGUGGACCCACCAUUGCCCAGGUUCAAAUCUGCCUUUAGUCUAACAUAAUUUCCAUAAUGUAAACUCCGCAAGCAAGUCGUUAGGGGAAAAAAGCAGGAAAUGCGUAUGAAAAUGGCAUACAACAUAGCCACAUUUACCAAUAUACUCCAUGGACUGGCGAGG
rnacentral:lncRNA from 1 species